ensembl:lncRNA
AUGGUGCCAGGGCCUCUCUGGGGCAUCAGUGUCAAGUGGAUCCGUGAAACUCUAUGCCCUUCCUGGAGGCCAGGCCCAUUCUGGGCAUCGGCCUUUAGGGGCCUUGGAAACGGGGUGGCAUGGUGCCAGGAGUCAGUGCCAGCCCCAUGGGGCCCAGGGGGAGCGUGCCAGGGCUGUGGGUGCAGGUCUAAAUCCGAGAGCGGGGCAGGCUUGAAGUUCUUUUCCUCCUGUCUAGAAUCCCAGCAUGAUGGGCUCUGCAUCCCAGACAACCAGACCCCCCUCCCCCCGGGGCUGGGGGCUCUCCAAGCAGAGAGUCUGGGGGCCUGGCAGGACCUACAGAACACCGCUCCCAGCCGCCCAGAUCCUGGCAGAGAACAGGUGCCUUCCCCGGGUGGAAACUCAAGCCUGCUCCUAACAGCUCUGCUUCCAGGUCAGAGCCUGGGCGCCUCUUGACCGGCUUGGAGCUGGCACCACUGGAAAGUGGCUUCCCCUCCUGGCAGUGUCACCACUUACAGAGGAGGUCUCAAGCUCCAGAGAGAGCAAGUGACAGCCCCAGGCCGCACGGAGUCGGGGCAGCUGGUCGAGCCCUGAUGGUGAGCUUGCCUGUCGCCCUCCCCGGCCAGUUCUUCCAGGAAGCCUUCCCUGACCACCCGAUCCUCCAAUUCUGCCCUCCACAGCGCCUGCUGUGCUGGCUUAUUCUGCUCUGCAGGGUGCCUCCUGCUGGGCCCCAUCCAGGAGGCCCUACAGGGGGCGGACGCAUAACUCGGGGAGCUGCCCAGCGUGGAAGGGGCCACCAAAGAGCAGCGAGCCCCCCGUCACCAGAGGUGUGCAAGCUGGUGAUGAGCUGGCGUGGGUGACCUCUGAGGUUCCUCUGGACUUCAGGGGCUGCGAUCCCGUGAUGGUUUCUGGAUGGUGCCCAGAUCUGGAGCUCUGCCCAGGACGUUGGGUCAUUUGUUCCUUCCACAACAAGUGGGGGGCCUCCUGGUGCCAGGUCCUGUGCGGAGGAGGCGGGUGGAGUUGAGCCCCUCCUUCCGGACACACGUUCCCCGGGGGGUGGGGAAACUGCUCUGAAGGGUUUGUGGCUGCAGGGAGGGCAGGUGGCCGAACUUGGUCAGUGAGGGGGCUGGACCCUUGGUGCUGUGGGCGCAGGAGUGGGGGGCUCUGGGGAGAUUCCCCGGGGGUGGGCGUGGGCUCGGCCUGUUGGGUCCCCUCCCCUCCCCCAGGCAGCAAGUAGACGGGAUUGUCUGGGAGGAUUCCAGGAAUGGCUCCUGCCCUGAUAAAAAUAGACUUCUCCGAAGGGCUUGGGAUGGUGCCAGGCCAGCAGGUGCCCCCCAGGCCUGGCCAGAGCGGGUGCCCCCAGUGAGGGGGGGGACAGGGGUGCUGGUUUGCGGGCUCAGCAGUCUGGUGGGCUCUGGGUCCUGGGUGUAGGUCCACAAAGCUGAUGGGGCCUCUCAGCUUGUAUGGAUGGGGAUGCAGUGUGGCGUGGCAUGAGAGCAGCUUGCCCAGGGGUCCUCUCUCCAGAGGGUCAGGGUCUCCGGGGGUCAGCAAAACUCAGCCCAACUUUGGUUCUUCUGCUUGUCGGCGGUGUGACUCAGGUUAAGUCCCUCGACCCCUCUGAGCUGCUAUUUUAUUAAUAGAGUGUGGCUGAUGGGCUUUGCUCAUGGCAUGCAGCAUCCAGCACGGUGUCUGAGGGGACAAGCUCUCAGGAAGUCAUCCAGGUGCGAGACUGGUGGGGCCCUGAGUGCCCAGAGCUGGCCUUUAGGAAGAGGCUGCUGGAAG